rnacentral:rRNA from 1 species
UACGUAGGUGGCAAGCGUUGUCCGGAUUUAUUGGGUUUAAAGGGCGCGUAGGCUGUGCUGUAAGUCAGGCGUGAAAGGCCCGGGCUCAACCUGGGAACUGCGUUUGAUACUGCGGCGCUGGAAUGCAGGAGAGGAUGGCGGAAUUCCCAGUGUAGAGGUGAAAUUCGUAGAUAUUGGGAAGAACACCGGUGGCGAAGGCGGCCAUCUGGCCUGCAAUUGACGCUGAGGCGCGAAAGCGUGGGGAGCAAACAGG